GGUGACGAGCGGCGGACGGGUGAGUAAUGUCUGGGAAACUGCCUGAUGGAGGGGGAUAACUACUGGAAACGGUAGCUAAUACCGCAUAAUGUCGCAAGACCAAAGUGGGGGACCUUCGGGCCUCAUGCCAUCAGAUGUGCCCAGAUGGGAUUAGCUAGUAGGUGGGGUAACGGCUCACCUAGGCGACGAUCCCUAGCUGGUCUGAGAGGAUGACCAGCCACACUGGAACUGAGACACGGUCCAGACUCCUACGGGAGGCAGCAGUGGGGAAUAUUGCACAAUGGGCGCAAGCCUGAUGCAGCCAUGCCGCGUGUGUGAAGAAGGCCUUCGGGUUGUAAAGCACUUUCAGCGGGGAGGAAGGCGUUAAGGUUAAUAACCUUGGCGAUUGACGUUACCCGCAGAAGAAGCACCGGCUAACUCCGUGCCAGCAGCCGCGGUAAUACGGAGGGUGCAAGCGUUAAUCGGAAUUACUGGGCGUAAAGCGCACGCAGGCGGUCUGUCAAGUCGGAUGUGAAAUCCCCGGGCUCAACCUGGGAACUGCAUUCGAAACUGGCAGGCUAGAGUCUUGUAGAGGGGGGUAGAAUUCCAGGUGUAGCGGUGAAAUGCGUAGAGAUCUGGAGGAAUACCGGUGGCGAAGGCGGCCCCCUGGACAAAGACUGACGCUCAGGUGCGAAAGCGUGGGGAGCAAACAGGAUUAGAUACCCUGGUAGUCCACGCCGUAAACGAUGUCGAUUUGGAGGUUGUGCCCUUGAGGCGUGGCUUCCGGAGCUAACGCGUUAAAUCGACCGCCUGGGGAGUACGGCCGCAAGGUUAAAACUCAAAUGAAUUGACGGGGGCCCGCACAAGCGGUGGAGCAUGUGGUUUAAUUCGAUGCAACGCGAAGAACCUUACCUGGUCUUGACAUCCACAGAACUUUCCAGAGAUGGAUUGGUGCCUUCGGGAACUGUGAGACAGGUGCUGCAUGGCUGUCGUCAGCUCGUGUUGUGAAAUGUUGGGUUAAGUCCCGCAACGAGCGCAACCCUUAUCCUUUGUUGCCAGCGGUUAGGCCGGGAACUCAAAGGAGACUGCCAGUGAUAAACUGGAGGAAGGUGGGGAUGACGUCAAGUCAUCAUGGCCCUUACGACCAGGGCUACACACGUGCUACAAUGGCAUAUACAAAGAGAAGCGACCUCGCGAGAGCAAGCGGACCUCAUAAAGUAUGUCGUAGUCCGGAUUGGAGUCUGCAACUCGACUCCAUGAAGUCGGAAUCGCUAGUAAUCGUAGAUCAGAAUGCUACGGUGAAUACGUUCCCGGGCCUUGUACACACCGCCCGUCACACCAUGGGAGUGGGUUGCAAAAGAAGUAGGUAGCUUAACCUUCGGGAGGGCGCUUACCACUUUGUGAUUCAUGACUGGGGUGAAGUCGUAACAAGGUAACCGUAGGGGAACCUGCGGUUG
rnacentral:rRNA from 1 species